AAAAAAGCAGUGGUCUGAUUCCUUUAUGAGCAGUCCUCUCGUAACCUUCAGGGAUAUAAAAACCAUUGUUCUUGGGUGAACCUAUGUUGUUUUGUGACUCUAGGUUCAGUAAAUGAUGGAAUAAUU